rnacentral:rRNA from 1 species
AGAGAGAGACAUGCGCGCAUAUCAAUAAGCGGAGGAAAAGAAACUAACUAGGAUUCCCUCAGUAACGGCGAGUGAAGCGGGAAGAGCUCAAAUUUGAAAUCUUCAAGGUUCUACCUUGACGAAUUGUAGUUUAAAGAAGUGUUUUCUGUUGGAGGUUUGGUAAAAGUUCUUUGGAAUAGGACAUCAUAGAGGGUGAGAAUCCCGUAUUUGACCAUUAUUUCCAGCUUUGUGAUACACUUUCAAAGAGUCGGAUUGUUUGGGAAUGCAGUCCAAAAUGGGUGGUAAAUUUCAUCUAAAGCUAAAUAUUGGCGAGAGACCGAUAGCGAACAAGUACCGUGAGGGAAAGAUGAAAAGAACUUUGAAAAGAGAGUUAAACAGUACGUGAAAUUGUCAAAAGGGAAGCGUUUGACACCAGUGUUGUUUUCUCGAAAAUCAAUUAAAAAAGGCAGGAUUUUGUGUUGUAUUGACUUUAUCAGCUUUCUGCACUCUUUUCUUGUCUUUUUUAAUGCACUUUUCGUUUAACAAGUCAACAUCAAUUUCUUUUGUUGUAAGAGGGUCAUUGGAAGGUGGCUUUCUUUUCGGAGAAAGUGUUUAUAGCCUUUGGCCUCUGCAAUCGGAGAGAUUGAGGUCUGCAGCGUAGAUCCUUCGGGGUUAGAUACAUUUGUGCUAAGUUAUAGCCUUUCAUAGACAACUUGUUGACUAUGAUCAGUCAUGUAGCUUACUCGCUUAUGCUAUUUUACCUACGCUUAGGAUGUUGAUGUGAUACUGCGAGCA